AAAGCUUCCCUCACCAACAUGGCUGGUUCCCCACUUCCUGUCAAGAUGGAGGACCAUACCACCACACCCAACUCAGGACACUCCCAACCACAGGCCUCCAGUCCUGAUACACCAGUCUCUUUAAUGACUGACUGUGGCAGAGCGGUUGCAGUACUGACGUCACGGACCAGGAAGAAGCAAUACAAAAC